UAGGUAGUCUAACCGCAAGGAGGACGCUUACCACGGUGUGGCCGAUGACUGGGGUGAAGUCGUAACAAGGUAGCCGUAGGGGAACCUGCGGCUGGAUCACCUCCUUA
rnacentral:rRNA from 1 species